CCUUGUGGGUGAGCGAGUGCUGCUUGAGGUGGUGGAUCUGGCUGAACUCCAUGCCGCACUCGGUGCACACGAAUGGGCCGCACAUUCUGGUGCUUGAGCAUGUGGUUCUGCAGCUGGCUGCGGUGAGUGGAAGGACUUGUCACACUCGGGGGCACUGGUACAGGGUGGGGCCCUGGUGGGAGGCCAGGUGGCGCUUGAGCUGGGUCAGGGUGGAGAAGUCCAGGCCGCACUUCGGCACACACGUGGCAGCGGCCACUCUCGUGCUUCACCUCGUGAGCCUUGAGCUCGCUGGGGUAGGCGAAGCCACGGCCUACAGAAGUGGCAGCUGUAGGGCUUGACCUCGGAGUGCAGCAGCAUGUGGCGCUUGAGGUGGCUGGUCUGUGUGAAGGCCUUAUGGCACACCUGGCACUUGUGGGGCCGAGUGCCCUGGUGCGUGAGCAGGUGCGUCUGCAGGUGGCUGGGCUGCUUGAAGAGCUUGCUGCAGUGCGGGCACGAGUGGGGCUUGAUGCCGUUGUGGCCGAGAAUGUGCGUCACCAGGUUGUACUUGGACGUGUAGGACUUCUCGCACAUGCGGCAUUGCCAGCGCUUCUGCCGGUCGCCCGCCUCCACCAGGUAGGAGUCGUCGAUCUGCACAUUGAUGUGUCCAGCCGGUCCAGCUGGGCUUUCUUGUGGCGCCCACGGUGGAGCCUGUGGCAUCUGGCUCAAACUCGCCCACCUCCUGCCACACAAAGCCCUGCUCCAGCUUCACAGGCUCUGGGGAGGCCAUGGUGGGGACCUUGGGAUCACUCAGGGGGGCCAGGUGGGGUGGCUCAAAACCACACUCCGCAGGCAAGGCCUCUGGCCCAGGCAGUGCCAUGCUGGGCUCAGGGAAGCUGUCCCGGCCUGGGUCGGGAAAGUGAGGGUCAUAGGGGGCCACAUCCAGCUCCGUCCUUGGAGUUCGAGGCAGAUGCCGGAGUGUCCGGGGCUUGCGGCUGAAGGUGCUGAGGUCGAUCAUCUUGACGGCGCUGCUCUGCACCAGGGCCUCACAGCCACCCCGGGCUACCUCGGCAGGGACCUCGGGCGGCCCUGCAUCCUUGUCAUCCCCAGGCACGGAGACCUCAUAGACCUCCUGCUCCUCUUCCUCCUCCACCUUCUCGAACUUGACCUUGGGCACCAGCCGCACAGGCGGCCGGGUCUUCCGCCCGGUGUGCUUCUCGAAGGCCGCUUCCACUUCUAGCACCUCCUCCUCCGCUGGCUCCUCCAGGGCCUGCCCGUUGCAGGCCAGCUGGUAGACAUUAGGGCCUGGUGGCCGGGGCUCCCCAUGGCUGCCCCCGACAGCUCAGGCCCUAGGUCUGGGUAGAAGGCUUCGGCGCUUAUGGUGGCUCCGAAGAGCUCAUUUUCUGAGACCAGGCCCAGCACGGCAGCCUGGGCCAAGGACAGCACCACCACGGCAUCUGUCUGUGUCCCUGAGUCCAUGAAGCCCUCCAUCCCUCGGCGGCUGGCUAGGAGGGCAUUGCUGCGAAGGAGAAGGAGAAAGGUCAACGCCUGCUGGCUCAACACGUGGCCCUUGAAGAAGUUCUCAGAAAUCUGAUUGAAAAAUGCAAAAAAUAACAAUUCUAUGGUUUUUAAAAACUGGCUUAAAAAUCCACCUACUCAAAUGUGCUACGCACCACAUUCUGGCACUGAGGAGUCCUACUGGCCAUACUGCUAAGGACCUGGUUGGUGACGGGGAUCUGCUUCAAACUCCCAGCACCAGAGACACUGUCCAAAAGCUGCUGAGGACACAGGACACUCAUCAUGACUGGUUUAGUUUGAUGACCACUCCUUGAGGCCCGGGUCUUGCUAGGUCUCUAAGCUCCCCAGGCUGGCCUUCAACUUGUGAUCUUCCUGCCUCAGCCUCCCAAAGGGCUGGGAUUACAGGUAUGUGCCCAGGUCCAGUUCUGCCCUUUGGUCCCUUGAUGGUGGCCUUGAAUCACCAGGAUCUAAUCCUGCAACUGAGCCAUUGAUGAGUGCCCAUCAGGUAGCAGGUGAGUGUACACAACAGGAGC
rnacentral:lncRNA from 1 species